UUCAACAUGUAAAGAAAACCACACUAGCCUUAUUAACCAUUCGGUAAAGUGAGGAUGAGUCUUUAUCCAGUUAUAUUUUGAAAGUCAACGAUAGGACUCAUCAAGUGGCCGAUCAUGAUCCCUAUAUACUCACUCAUGCCUUUUAACAAUAGCUUGAACUUAUCACGGUUCCUUUAGUUAAUAGCCAAGAAGCCUUGAUAAUAUUUGUUGGCGUACUCCAAAAUGUGAAUCGAUAUAUAACAAUUGAAUUCCUUAUAUCAGAAAAAAAAAAANN
rnacentral:lncRNA from 1 species